CCUAUGCCUAAGUUCCCUCCUUUUAAGGGAUUUGAUCAUCCUUUCCCUUUACCUCCACCUUUGGAGCUUCCACCGUUUCCUAAACCAUGCCCACCACCUCCGGUUCCGGUGUACGAGCCACCCCCAAAGGUGGAACUUCCACCACCUGUCCCGGUUCACGAGCCACCCCCAAAGGUAGAGGUUCCACCACCCGUCCCGGUUCACGACCCACCGCCAAAGGUGGAGCACCCACCUCCGGUUCCGGUUUACAAGCCACCUCCAAAGGUAGAGCACCCACCUCCAGUUCCGGUUUACAAGCCGCCUCCAAAGGUAGAGCACCCACCUCCGGUUCCGGUUUACAAGCCACCUCCAAAGGUAGAGCACCCACCUCCGGUUCCAGUACACAAGCCACCAACAAUCCCUAAGAAGCCAUGCCCGCCUAAGUCGCCGAAGAUUGAGCUUCCAC
rnacentral:lncRNA from 1 species